ACCUGGGUGCUGUACCGGAUAGGUGCAUUUGCUGAAGAACUGCUUUAGGCUCCUGCCUCCCAAGGGCUGGCGUUAAAAGUUCAUCACUCUCCCAGUCUUUAUUCUGUUUUCCAUCCUCUGGUACCUUACAGAGGCCCGGAACACACAGUGUUUUAUGAUCUCUAUGAGAUUGAGGCCAGCCUGGUCUAUGUAGAGUUCUAGCCAGGGCAACGGAGUGAGACCCAGUAUCAAAACAACAUAAACUGUCCACAUGCUGACUUGCCUUAACAUCAAUUUAUACCUGAAACUAAAUGCAAGCUAGCCAUUAGUCAGUUCAUUAGAAGUAGGGUCAAUUUACACAAAGGACAGGGGAGAAUAUUCAGGAGUCAGUGGGACAGAUUUUAUAUUUGAUUCAUCAGUUUAUCCAGUAAUUAUAUGCCCCCAAACAGGUGAUGGGAUAGAAAGCCUUGCAUGUGCUAGACAAGCUCCCUGCCACUGAGCUAUAGCCACAGACCUUUUAAAGCUUAUUUUUAUUUUUUAAAUAUUUCUUUAAAACUUUUAUGUGCAUUGGUGUUUUAUCUACAUAUAUAUCUGUAUUUAUGUGUCAGACCACAGGGCAUCAGAUCCCUUAGAACUGGAGUUGCAGCUACUUGUGGGUGCUGAGAAUUGAACCAGGUUCCCCUAGAAGAGCACCCAUUGCUCUUAACCUCUGAGCAAUCUCUCCAGUCCCAAAAUUUAUUUUUAUUAAUGUGCAUGUGUGUGUGUGUGUGUGGAGGCAUACAAGCCCCAUGAAGCUGGAGAGGUGCCAAGAUACCCCCAAGACUACUCGAACAGGCUUACCUGCCUUUUCAAGCUUCUGUCUUUCAAGACACAAGCAGCCAAACUCCACCCUGCAGGGGGAAAAAAAGCCCAACAUCAAGCCAUACAAUCCCACCAAUCCCUCAGCUUGCCCAAAGAUCAGGUCACAAAAUCCCACCAAUCUGACACCACCCCGUAAGUCUUCACCCACUCCCCCAAGAAACCCUAUAUACAGCCUGCCUCCUGCUCAGUCCUGUGCUGGGUCUCACUAGAAACCCUAUAUACAGCCUGCCUCCUGCUCAGUCCUGUGCUGGGUCUCACUAGAGCAAGGGCUGUCACCCUCUUCUGUUUUUCCCAUGUGAGGUUUCUUGUACAGUGUGACUUUGUAGUAUUUCUUGGCUCCUUACUGCCAGGAUACCUUUCCCCUUAGAGCUCUUUCAUUUACAUAUGCAUACACAUGAGCCAAAUCGAGAACAGAGUGUGGGUUUCCCCACUAAGUUCUAUCAUUUGGAGGCCCCAGCGAGAUCUGCGUGACACCCAGGAACCCUGAAAGACCCCUUGGAGUUCUGGUAUUCUGUAUUCUGGCAGCUGCCACUUUGGACUGUGAGGACCUAGUGGCUGCAGGAGGAAGACGUUCUAAGGCCCCGAAGGCUGCAACUCUGGAAGACGUUCCAAGGGUGACCCUGGAGGAAGUGCCCAGGGUCUGGUUUUGGUCUCAAGGGGUUGACUGAUUAUCUUGGUUUGGCCCCAAGAGACUUUUCACUCCUGCUGGUCGGGCAAAGGAUUUCCAGCAGUCUAUGUCCCUGUACAAAGACCAGCAUCUGGCAGUCAUGGGGCCAAAACAGCUGAAAAUGAUACCCAUGCAAAUUCAACAAGACCUCUGAUUGGACACUGAAGAGUUAUGAUAGAUUAAAAACUUUCCCAACAAUAAAAUUUCAUAUGGCUAUACCUGUGUUAUCAGAGGUGGGUUUUGGUAUAUGGUAAAGAAAGUCUUAAUUAGAAAGAAUUAAAAUAGUUUAAAUUUAUGCAUUGAAGAUUUAUAAAAAAUCAGGCACUAGAUGUUGAAUAAUUGACCAUAUGGGGCUGGAGAGCUAGCUCAGUGAUUAAGAGCACUGAUCAUAAAGAUUUAUUAACCUGCUCUUGGAAAUAUGCCAGUAGCCUUGAAUGACUGCCUCACUGAAUACAUCCUUUUAGAAUUGUUAUAUUUUGAUGAUUUAUAUUAAUAAUGAUGUUACCUGUUCUGUAUGUGAUUCACUGAAACAUAGUUUCAGUUGUAAUGCUUGGAUGAUUUUUGUUGGUAUUUGUGAUUGAUUCACUGGAUACAGUUUCUAAGAGAUGCAAUGUUUGGAUUUUAAUGUAUAAAAUCCCCUGCUUGAGCUCCAAAAUACAGUCGGAUUCAAAUUGC
ensembl:lincRNA